rnacentral:misc_RNA from 1 species
CGCAACUUGCGCCUUUUGGUAUUCCGAAAGGCAUGCCUGUCUGAGUGUCAUGUAGCCUCAACCCCCCUUGGUUUCUGACCGAGGGGUGUGUUGGAUUUGGGCGUCUGCCGCUAGCCGUGGCUCGCCUGAAAAGUGUCAGUGGGAAGGUUCCCCGUGUCUGGCGUAAUAAGUUUCGCCCGUCCGGGUCGAGCCCGCCCGCUCCCAACCCCCAUCUAUUUUGACUUUGGCCUCAGAUCAGGUAGGACUACCCGCUGAACUUAA